GAAGAGGAAGCGUAGUGUCAUGGUGAUGGCAGGCAGCUCAGGGAAAGCUGAAAGAUUCUGGCUACAAUGGUGUUAUCCGCUUGCUAACAUGAGAAGAGCCACCUGCCAAGGGAAGACCUAAUGGUUUGAAAUUGUACACAGAAUAGAUAAGGCCAGCAAACACUUUUUGGGGAAAUAAGCGAGCUGCAGUUGAAACGAUAACCAAAGAUGCACCCAAGACAGCUGCGACACUGCUGGCUGAAGCCUGAUUAAUGUUUCCCCAACAAUAGUUGCCAUGUGGUGCAGCCCAAAGGGCUUGACGAUUCACUGUGUAAAGCUAUAAUAUUAAAUCUGAUGCCUUCUCCCUCAAGUGAAAGCCCGAAGCUUGUUUAUUCUGGUUCUCCCCUGGGGAGCAGUACUGCGGACAUACAGGGUGUUGCGAUCUUCUGUUAUUUAAGAUUCUGUGAAUCGCCCUAUGUGACAGCGCCACAUCACCAUUCAGCGCUGUUUUAUUAAUGACAGUCAAACAUUAACAGAAAUCCUUUCCAUUUCAUGGCUUUAACUCAACCAAAAAAAAAACACCCAAUGCCAGAGAAAAAAAGACACGGCGUUCUGUCUGCAAUGAACAGGUCGUCCGAUAAAUCACAUUGCGCACUUCACUGCUAAUUGCAAUAGCGCUGUUCGUGUUUCCCCUGUUGUGGUAAUUAUGUCCCCUUGAUUCCACACUCCAUUCUCUAAAUAUUUACAUUAUUUAUUUCUUACAGUACGAAGCAGAACUGCGGUCGGCAAACACAGGGUGUAAUGAGGCAGGAAAGUCAUCGAUGUCUGUACUGAAAUCAUUACAAGUCGGUUCAGUGGGCCCGGGCAGGAUCAGAUCGCCAUUUGAACUCCACACCAAGGAUCUCCACACAAUCGGAGAUGGCCUCGAUGUCUACUCUGGGGUCAUGGAUCUGUCCACAGUAAUGCAGCAGUCCAUUGAUGAUGUUGCUGCUGAGGAAGCUAGGGAGAAGAUGGAAUAGGAAGAUCUCCUUGGUGCCAAAGGUUAAGAGAUGGAAAACAUUAUCACCAAUUUUAUUCAGAGCCAAUUGUGAUUCUUUAUGGUUAAAAACAAAAAAAUGUUGACACUGGAUUUUCUGACUAGAUUUUGAUCUUUUUGUGUAAUUGAAAUGCUCUAAUUUUUGUACCAAAAUCAGCAUUGUAUGGUAACCCCCCUUAAAACUAUGUUACAGAGGUAUGAAUUAAGUAGAGUAGGAUUUUAAUUCCCAUGUUCAAAUUAUGACAUAUUUGCAGAUCUACCCCUUCCAUCUUAUAACAAAAGUAAUUAACCGAAAGUACGUAGCCAAAUUUAGUAUAAAAUAUUGGAGAUUUAUAAAAUUUACAUUUUAAUGGGAUUAUAUACAGAUGUAACAUUUCCAUUUUGAGAUCGGGGGGGUUGGGGGAUUCUGAGGACAGUUCUCAGCUAGUGAUACUUCUUCAGUUUGGAAGGGCAUGCAAGAAAUUACCAGCUAUAAGAGGAAAGCCCCCUGCUCUUUGGACAAUCAUCAGCUCACCAAUGACCUGAAUGAGUUUAACUGCAGGUUUGAAAAUCAGAAACGUACCUCCACCCCUCCCCAACAAACACAGCCAGACCCCAGUCUGCAAAGAAUGGACCC